rnacentral:rRNA from 1 species
UUGGAGGGCAAGUCUGGUGCCAGCAGCCGCGGUAAUUCCAGCUCCAAUAGCGUAUAUUAAAGUUGUUGCAGUUAAAAAGCUCGUAGUUGAAUUUCGGGACCAAUUUGUUGGUCGUGCCUCGGUACGUACUGGUAUUAUUGGUUUCUACCUUCUGAAGAACCUUGAUGUCAUUAAUUUGGUGUCUUGGGGAAUCAGGACUGUUACUUUGAAAAAAUUAGAGUGUUUAAAGCAAGCAUACGCUUGAAUACAUUAGCAUGGAAUAAUGAAAUAGGACGUUUGAUUCUAUUUUGUUGGUCUCUAGGAUCGACGUAAUGAUUAAUAGGGAUAGUUGGGGGCAUUAGUAUUCAAUUGUCAGAGGUGAAAUUCUUGGAUUUAUUGAAGACUAACUACUGCGAAAGCACUUGCCAAGGAUGUUUUCAUUAAUCAAGAACGAAAGUUAGGGGAUCGAAGACGAUCAGAUACCGUCGUAGUCUUAACCAUAAACUAUGCCGACUAGGGAUCGGAUGAUGUUAAUUUUUUAAUGACUCAUUCGGCGCCUUACGGGAAACCAAAGUGUUUGGGUUC